GGUGAAAAGCACCCCGGAAGGGGAGUGAAAUAGAACCUGAAACCGUGUGCUUACAAGUAGUCAGAGCCCGUUAAUGGGUGAUGGCGUGCCUUUUGUAGAAUGAACCGGCGAGUUACGAUUUGAUGCAAGGUUAAGCAGUAAAUGUGGAGCCGUAGCGAAAGCGAGUCUGAAUAGGGCGUUUAGUAUUUGGUCGUAGACCCGAAACCAGGUGAUCUACCCUUGGUCAGGUUGAAGUUCAGGUAACACUGAAUGGAGGACCGAACCGACUUACGUUGAAAAGUGAGCGGAUGAACUGAGGGUAGCGGAGAAAUUCCAAUCGAACCUGGAGAUAGCUGGUUCUCUCCGAAAUAGCUUUAGGGCUAGCCUCAAGUGAUGAUUAUUGGAGGUAGAGCACUGUUUGGACGAGGGGCCCCUCUCGGGUUACCGAAUUCAGACAAACUCCGAAUGCCAAUUAAUUUAACUUGGGAGUCAGAACAUGGGUGAUAAGGUCCGUGUUCGAAAGGGAAACAGCCCAGACCACCAGCUAAGGUCCCAAAAUAUAUGUUAAGUGGAAAAGGAUGUGGCGUUGCCCAGACAACUAGGAUGUUGGCUUAGAAGCAGCCAUCAUUUAAAGAGUGCGUAAUAGCUCACUAGUCGAGUGACACUGCGCCGAAAAUGUACCGGGGCUAAACAUAUUACCGAAGCUGUGGAUUGUCCUUUGGACAAUGGUAGGAGAGCGUUCUAAGGGCGUUGAAGCAUGAUCGUAAGGACAUGUGGAGCGCUUAGAAGUGAGAAUGCCGGUGUGAGUAGCGAA
rnacentral:rRNA from 1 species